rnacentral:rRNA from 1 species
GAUGAACGCUGGCGGCGUGCCUAAUACAUGCAAGUCGAGCGAACAGACGAGGAGCUUGCUCCUCUGACGUUAGCGGCGGACGGGUGAGUAACACGUGGAUAACCUACCUAUAAGACUGGGAUAACUUCGGGAAACCGGAGCUAAUACCGGAUAAUAUAUUGAACCGCAUGGUUCAAUAGUGAAAGACGGUUUUGCUGUCACUUAUAGAUGGAUCCGCGCCGCAUUAGCUAGUUGGUAAGGUAACGGCUUACCAAGGCAACGAUGCGUAGCCGACCUGAGAGGGUGAUCGGCCACACUAGAACUGAGACACGGUCCAGACUCCUACGGGAGGCAGCAGUAGGGAAUCUGCCGCAAUGGGCGAAAGCCUGACGGAGCAACGCCGCGUGAGCGAUGAAGGUCUUCGGAUCGUAAAACUCUGUUAUUAGGGAAGAACAAAUGUGUAAGUAACUAUGCACGUCUUGACGGUACCUAAUCAGAAAGCCACGGCUAACUACGUG